GUAGGGGGCAAGCGUUGUCCGGAUUUAUUGGGCGUAAAGCGCGUGUAGGCGGCCAUACAGGUCCGUUGUGAAAACUCGAGGCUUAACCUCGAGACGUCGAUGGAAACCGUAUGGCUAGAGUCCGGAAGAGGAGAGUGGAAUUCCUGGUGUAGCGGUGAAAUGCGCAGAUAUCAGGAAGAACACCCGUGGCGAAGGCGGCUCUCUGGGACGGUACUGACGCUGAGACGCGAAAGCGUGGGGAGCGAACAGGAUUAGAUACCCUGGUAGUCCACGCCGUAAACGAUGGGUGCUAGGUGUGGGCGGUGUCGACUCCGUCCGUGCCGAAGCUAACGCAUUAAGCACCCCGCCUGGGGAGUACGGCCGCAAGGCUA
rnacentral:rRNA from 1 species